UGGUCUCUAGUCUAGCUGUGUCUCUAGUCUAACUGGUCUCUGGUCUAGCUGGUUUCUAGUCUAGCUGGUCUCUAGAUAAGGUAGAGAUGUAUUGGUGGGAGAGAGAGAUGUAUUGGUUGAAGAGAGAGAGAUGUAUUGGUGGGACAGAGUAGGGAUGUGUUGGUGGGAGAGAAGAGGGAUGUAUUGGUGGGAGAGAGUAGUGAUGUGUUGGUGGGAGAGAGUAGAGAUGUAUUAGUUGGAGAGAGUAGGGAUGUGUUGGUGGGAGAGAGAGAUGUAUUGGUGGGAGAGAGUAGAGAUGUAUUGGUGGGAGAGAGUAGGGAUGUGUUGGUGGGAGAGAGAGAUGUAUUGGUGGGAGAGAGUAGGGAUGUAUUGGUGAGAGAAAGUAGAGAUGUGUUGGUGGGAGA
ensembl:lncRNA